rnacentral:rRNA from 1 species
GGUAGAGAGAAGCUUGCUUCUCUUGAGAGCGGCGGACGGGUGAGUAAUGCCUAGGAAUCUGCCUGGUAGUGGGGGAUAACGUUCGGAAACGGACGCUAAUACCGCAUACGUCCUACGGGAGAAAGCAGGGGACCUUCGGGCCUUGCGCUAUCAGAUGAGCCUAGGCCGGAUUAGCUAGUUGGUGAGGUAAUGGCUCACCAAGGCGACGAUCCGUAACUGGUCUGAGAGGAUGAUCAGUCACACUGGAACUGAGACACGGUCCAGACUCCUACGGGAGGCAGCAGUGGGGAAUAUUGGACAAUGGGCGAAAGCCUGAUCCAGCCAUGCCGCGUGUGUGAAGAAGGUCUUCGGAUUGUAAAGCACUUUAAGUUGGGAGGAAGGGUUGUAGAUUAAUACUCUGCAAUUUUGACGUUACCGACAGAAUAAGCACCGGCUAACUCUGUGCCAGCAGCCGCGGUAAUACAGAGGGUGCAAGCGUUAAUCGGAAUUACUGGGCGUAAAGCGCGCGUAGGUGGUUUGUUAAGUUGGAUGUGAAAUCCCCGGGCUCAACCUGGGAACUGCAUUCAAAACUGACUGACUAGAGUAUGGUAGAGGGUGGUGGAAUUUCCUGUGUAGCGGUGAAAUGCGUAGAUAUAGGAAGGAACACCAGUGGCGAAGGCGACCACCUGGACUAAUACUGACACUGAGGUGCGAAAGCGUGGGGAGCAAACAGGAUUAGAUACCCUGGUAGUCCACGCCGUAAACGAUGU